rnacentral:rRNA from 1 species
UCAUAGACGCGAAACCUAGUGAUCUAGGCCUGUCCAGGCUGAAGCUGAGGUAAGACUCAGUGGAGGGCCGAACUCACCGCCGUUGAAAAGUUGGGAGAUGAGAUAGGUCUAGGGGUGAAAAGCCAAUCGAACUAGGAGAUAGCUCGUUCUCUCCGAAAUGCAUUUAGGUGCAGCCUUGAACUGAGAUAUGUGGGGGUAGAGCUCUGUAUGAUCUAGGGGGCGUACUGCUUACCGAAAUCAAGCAAACUGCGAAUACCAUAUAUCAUGUUCAGGAGUGAGUCCGUGGAUGACAAGGUCCUCGGACGAGAGGGGAACAGCCCAGACCGCCAGCUAAGGUCCCUAAUUAUGUCUAAGUGGGAAAGGAGGUGGACAUUCAUAGACAACCAGGAGGUUGGCUUAGAAGCAGCCAUGCCUUGAAAGAGUGCGUAAUAGCUCACUGGUCGAGAGUGCCUGCGCCGAAGAUGUAACGGGGCUAAGACAUAAACCGAAGCUGCGGAAGAUACACUGUAUCUUGGUAGGAGAGCGUUCUGUAGGCCGUCGAAGGGAUGCCGCAAGGCCGUCCUGGAGGUAUCAGAAGCGAGAAUGCAGGAAUGAGUAGCGAGAAGGCGGGCGAGAAUCCCGCCGGCCGGAAGUCCAAGGUUUCCAGGGGAAGGCUUGUCCGCCCUGGGGAAGUCGGGACCUAAGCAUAAGCAAAAUUGUGAUGGCGAAUGGAAAACAGGUUAAUAUUCCUGUACCGCUGUUAUCGCUUGAGAGACGGAGUGACGCAGGAAGGUAUGCGAGAAGGCUGACGGUUUAGCCUUUCUAAGGGCCCAGCGUGGGCGUGCAGGUAAAUCCGCACGCCUAAACGUGAGACCUGACGGGGAAGUGCAUUUGCAUAAGUCGCAGAUCCUACACUGCCAAGAAAAACUUCUAUCGAUGAGAAGCAGCGCCCGUACUGUAAACCGACACAGGUGGACAGAGUGAGAAACUUAAGGCCGACAGGAUAACUCUAGCUAAGGAACUCUGCAAAAUAGCCCCGUAACUUCGGGAGAAGGGGUGCCUGACAUACCUGAAGGAGAGAAGCGCUCCCAGGGGAAACAGGCCGCAGUGAAGAGUCUCAAGCAACUGUUUACCAAAAACACAGGUCUAUGCUAAGCUGAAAGGCGACGUAUAUGGGCUGACACCUGCCCAGUGCCGGAAGGUUAAGAGGAGGAGUGAGAGCUCCGAUUUGAAGCCCCGGUGAACGGCGGCCGUAACUAUAACGGUCCUAAGGUAGCGAAAUUCCUUGUCGGGUAAGUUCCGACCUGCACGAAUGGUGAAAUGAUUUGAGAGCUGUCUUGGCUGGAGACCUGGUGAAGUUGUAAUGCCGGUGAAGAUACCGGCUACCUGCAGUAGGACGGAAAGACCCCGUGGAGCUUUACUGUAGCUUGGCAUUGGGUUCUGGCAAUGUGUGUAUAGGAUAGUUGGGAGACUGUGAUGUGAUGGCGUCAGCCAUUGCUGAGUCGCUGUUGGAAUACCAACCAUAUGCUGUCGGAAUUCUAAUCUGGCAACGGAGACAGUGCUAGGUGGGCAGUUUGACUGGGGCGGUCGCCUCCCAAAGAGUAACGGAGGCGUUCAAAGGUUCCCUCAGGCUGGAUGGAAAUCAGCCUAAGAGUGCAAACGCAUAAGGGAGCUUGACUGCAAGACUGACGGGUCGAGCAGGUACGAAAGUAGGAGUUAGUGAUCCGGCGGUUCCGUAUGGAAGGACCGUCGCUCAACGGAUAAAAGCUACCCCGGGGAUAACAGGCUGAUACUUCCCAAGAGUCCAUAUCGACGGAAGUGUUUGGCACCUCGAUGUCGGCUCGUCUCAUCCUGGGGCUGGAGAAGGUCCCAAGGGUUGGGCUGUUCGCCCAUUAAAGAGGCACGCGAGCUGGGUUCAGAACGUCGUGAGACAGUUCGGUCCCUAUCCACUGCAGGCG